CCAUGCGGUUCGGUGAAUGAGGUCGAGUGGUGCGGUUCUCUAUCCAUCGACUAGGGAGGGUUAGAGAGGAGCGACCGUGAGCAUUCAUCUAUCCAGUCCCGAUGCGAGGAGGUCGAUUGGAUCGGCCGGAGGAGGUGCGGGAUCGAGGUGCCAUUCGGUUCGGUGAAGGGGAUCGACCGGAUGAGUAGGUUCCGGGCCCAGCCGACCGAGUUGCACGAGGGGGAUCAGUGGAGGCGUAGGAUGCUGGUGGAGAAAGUCGUUGCUCGGUCUUCCAGAUCUAGCCGAGAGGGUCUCAAUUUAGGGCCCAGGGCAGCAGACCGUCAUGUCAAUUCGACUCCGUCGAUUCAGUAAUUGAAUCAUGGUUACAAGAGGCCAGUUAAUGGAAAUCGAUGUGUUCAGGUCAGUUUCGCUCUCGAUUCACGCUGUUCCUUUAAUCUCGCAUCCAUAUAAUCUCCAUCGUCUUUGCUUUCCUUCCUCAUUCCCCUCAUCGCUCCCGCAAAACAUUUUAUAGGAUGACCAUGGUGGACAGUUCACUCUGGUCGUUGAUUCGUCUUUCCUCUUCUGCCAAUGGCCUCUCCACGAUUCCCGCAAUUCUGCAUCGAGUUAUAGGUUUUUUAUGUAUAUUGUUCUUUGUGCUGUCAAAUAAAUGCAGGUUCUCUUUCUUGGUCAAUCAGACCUCGGUUCCAACAGGUUGGCUGAUUCUGCUGCAUUGCAAGGUGAGUCCCUACUUUCACAUUCAAUGAUUUCUUGCCUGAGAUUAAUAUGCUUAAACACAACAUCUUCCAAUUGCUCAUAGUGCUAAUUGUUACAGUGUGAGAGUUUUUGUUCGGGUCCAAUAUUCUUUCACACAGUGCAGAGUUGACUUUGAGUAACCCUGUUCUAUUCAGCUUUUCUAUUCUAAAUAAACGACAUGAGGACGGUGCAUAUCAGCGUCUUCUAUUUGAAGGUACUUCUUAUACAUAGAUAAACUCUUAUUUGUCCUGUAAUUUUCAAGUCCACUCUGUAUUUCCCACGCCUCACUUUCUAUGGAUGCAAAGGUGUUUGAACUUAGUUCUCAUUUGGUGCAUGUAUUUGGAUUGCUUGUAGAGUGAUUUUUAAAAUUGAAUUACUCAUCAGAACUAAAGGAUAAGCCCAUCGGUCAAAACGAGGGAAUAGAAAAACAUAGAGCCAAGCACUUGUUAAUGGUAUUUGUGUUGGUAAACUUGUACAACACCAUUUCCUCUUUGUUCAUGUUCAUUGUAAUCCAGAGACCUCAUCUUUGGUGUUGGAGCCUGAUUCAGGUGGAUUGAUUUGGGGAAUUGCAAUGGCUGUCGAACCAGGUGUAGAAAAAAAAUCCAAAUUUCUUCAUCCAACAAAAAGGCUCGUGCAUGUAAUGUGGUACUCAGGAUGAUCGUUUGUCUUACCUAGCUACCUUUUCCUUUUAUUUUUAUUUUUAUCGGGCCAUGUGUAUUUUAAAUGUAACGUGUGUUUUCUUUCUUGUUCUCCGACAUAAUGAAAAUUUGAAUCCCUAAUUGAAUUGUCUA